rnacentral:tRNA from 1 species
UGGGGCGUCGCCAAGCGGUAAGGCAACGGUUUUUGGUACCGUCAUUCCCAGGUUCGAAUCCUGGCGCCCCAG